rnacentral:rRNA from 1 species
AAAAAUACUCUCGACAAAGGAAUUUCUCGCUCUCGCAUCCAUGAAGAACGCAGCGAAAUGCGAUACUUGGUGUGAAUUGCAGGAUCCCGCGAACCAUCGAGUCUUUGAACGCAAGUUGCGCCCUAAGCCUUCCGGCCGAGGGCACGUCUGCCUGGGUGUCAUUC